rnacentral:lncRNA from 1 species
UGAUAAACCCUGUCAUAGUGGAGCAAGUUCAGGUGUUUAACCGCUGUUACGGGGGAUCUGCCUUUUCUCCCUCUCCUUUCUUACUUCCAUGAGUAUGUAUGUGCAGAGAUUGAAAAAUGACCUUGAGAGAGUCCAUCCAUCUAACUCCAGGCUGGAGUGCAGUGGCGUGAUUUUGGCUCACUGUAUCCUUCGCCUCCCUGGCUCAAGUGAUUCUCCUGCCUCAGCCUCCCGAGUAGCUUGGAUUACAGAGGUUGUUGGCUUCCAUCAGGGGUGGUCAUUUCCAAUCAGACACCUAAGAACUCCUGCUAGUGGGCAAUGAUGGAGGCACAUUCUAGAUGGAGGCACAUUCUAGAAACGCUUGAAACUGUGUGUUGCUUUGGACA